GCACGAAUGUCGCCACAUGUUUGACAUUACAUAUCUAAUAUUCGUCUUCUUUUUUUUUUUUCUUCCUCGGUUCUCUGCGAGGAAGCCAUUCCGUUAGCGUCAGUACCAAAGAAAGUGCGGAUGAAGAAGCCGGCGAAGUCCCGGUCCCAACGAGGAUGACGGGGACAAUGCCGGACAAGGAGAUAACCUUCAUCAAGGCACCGGUGAGGUGAAAGUAGAAACGAGCAAUCAACGACAGAGUCUCACGCACCGGAUCUCAUCGCUCUAUGAGACGCUCAUUAG